rnacentral:rRNA from 1 species
GACGAACGCUGGCGGCGUGCUUAACACAUGCAAGUCGAACGGAAAGGCCCUGCUUUUGUGGGGUGCUCGAGUGGCGAACGGGUGAGUAACACGUGAGUAACCUGCCCUUGACUUUGGGAUAACUUCAGGAAACUGGGGCUAAUACCGGAUAGGAGCUCCUGCUGCAUGGUGGGGGUUGGAAAGUUUCGGCGGUUGGGGAUGGACUCGCGGCUUAUCAGCUUGUUGGUGGGGUAGUGGCUUACCAAGGCUUUGACGGGUAGCCGGCCUGAGAGGGUGACCGGCCAAAAUGGGACUGAGAUACGGCCCAGACUCCUACGGGAGGAAGCAGUGGGGAAUAUUGCACAAUGGGCGGAAGCCUGAUGCAGCAACGCCGCGUGCGGGAUGACGGCCUUCGGGUUGUAAACCGCUUUCGCCUGUGACGAAGCGUGAGUGACGGUAAUGGGUAAAGAAGCACCGGCUAACUACGUG